CGUCACGGCAUUUUGUUUAUGUUUGAAAAGUUAUAAGUUGCAUUAAGUUUACUGUUUUUAUCCUACAUAGCUUCAUAAGCAGCAAACAAGAAAUGACGAAGAAGAGAUGGGCCAACAUUGAACAAAGCAAAAUAGAGAAAUCAGUUGCUUCAUGGCUGGCACAGACACAAUUAAAAUCAAAGACUUAGAAAGGGGCAGGGUGUCAAAGAGCAACUGAAGAACAGGAAGAUGAGGAUCAUGAAGCCGCCGACGCUUGAAUGAUGUGUAAAUAAUGUAUUGUCAGGGUGUCUACGAACCGGGAAAUCCGGGAAUGAACUUAUUUUUUUACUGAAAUGUCCUGUUUUUAGUAAAUAUGGGUAAUCUUUAGUGGUAAUUGUCCUUACAUAAUUGUGUGGGCCAUUUUAAGUAUGACAUAAAAAUUUUUUAGAAGAACAUAAAAGGUUUUUUAUCAAAUGUUUGCCUACAUUUGCAUCAUUUAUUACUAUAGAGUAAUUAUGCAAUAGAAACCACAUUAGCAGUCUCAAACCCAUAAAUAUUUUACCUCGACAAUCACAUCAAGUCAAGUACUUCAAAGAACUCAUGACUCAGUAGCAAAGCUCAUAAAAGUUGUAUCACUGUCAUUCCUUGACAACUUAAUUAUUUAUUACUAGGGUAAUUAUCAUUAGAUCCCAAACCUAUUUGAUCAUGGGAAUAAUAGUUUUAUAGCCUAUUAGCUGUUAAAUUUAACUUCUUACUUGUACUUUCAUCUUGAAGAUUCAAUUUGCCGCUGGCCGUUGCCUACUCCCUUAAA